rnacentral:lncRNA from 1 species
GGUGUGUUGUGUGUGCGUGAUGACAUGGCGGCAACAGCAGCAAUCGGUGGCUCCGGCGUGUCUACUAGUGAGAUGUGCGUGCGUGCAACAGCCAGUAUGUUGUGUGUGUCGUGCUUCCUCUCUGAAUCUUUUAACAUUGAGUUUUCUCUCCAUCUUGUACACUGCAGGGUACCAAGUAGAUAUAUCCGCACAUGUUCGUCAACCGGCUGCAGACGCGACCUUCUAUCAAUAUCUAUUUUAGUUAGUUCUCUACCAAAUCUAAUUCAGUUUAGAUUUUUCCGAUAGUUUGGUGUAUCUCUGUUCUCUAAAUCAAUAUAACCAAGUGUUCAGUAUUCAUUCAGUUUAUUUUCUAUCAAAAUAUAAUUCAGUAUGAAUAAAUGUAAUCAAGUGUGGUCAAUAAUUUCAUCAAAUAGGUCUUGAAGACAUGAUUUCUGUUAAUGUAUUAACAUCAUGACAUGUUCUGUUUAGUGUUUUCUCCUAGGCAUUUCUUUUUCUGUUUUUACUGUCUCUUGCAGCUCGGUGAAUAUAUAUAUCAGAAUUAGUUUAAUCUGAAUCUAAGAAGAAAAUUACAUUUACAGUGUGGCAGUCCUACAGUAAUAAUACAGAGUUUAAACUUGUCAAUUUGUGUACUAAACUCAUGUAUUAGUGAGCCAAUUUAUAGUAGUACUACUACUAUUAGUUCUGCACUUACUAGUACUUGUACCAAGACAACAUACAUGUUAGCUCACUCUCAACCUGGAGACACACCGAGCUAGCACUUGCCAACACAAUGACACACACAUUUCUUAUUCAACUCCUCUGCUCCCUACCUCCAUAUCUAGGUCGCCCUCAGCAAUAGUUCCGCCAACAAGUGGGGAUUGUUGUCUACUGCUUUUUCUAAAUCUUGUUGAUGUUAUUCCCUCUUUUUAACUUUGAUAACUUAACAUUCUAAUUUCCCAACAAGUGGGUCUUGGUGGCACUGCUGCAUGACGCAAAAUAGAGCUUGAGAGGGCUUGUUGCCACGAUGGCCGUGAUGGAGCUGCUCCGUGAUCAACCAGGGGUUGGUUCUCUACUGCCACUCCUAUGAUUUCUUCAUUAUUUCCAUUCACAAGCUCAACUACCACUGAACUACACCUAUUUAGUUGAUCUAGUUCAGAGUUAGGUAUUUUAAAUGCCAAUUGAAGUUUACGUGUCAAGCAAGUGUUGGUUGCUAUUUUUAGAUCCUUGACAAAUAUUUAGUUUCAUGAGUGAACUUGUUGACACAUGAACAUUUGAUGUUUACGCCGGCCGGGUCGAUGAGAAGCGGCUCCGCGCCAUUGAUAUUGCUUAUUAGUGAUGCCAUUUUCCCGUGGAUUUAUAUGGCCUCAACUGCUGCUGAGUACUAGGAGUUCUGAAAUCUAUCUUCUGUUACCUUGUCACUUAAAGGUCAACUUGAAUAGACUUUCAUUUGACACACUUCUAUUUGGAUUAAUGUUAAGCAACAACAUGAUUAUUAUUGUUUUAUAGUAUAUAAUGUUAUUCUCAUUUGUAGCCAUGGUAUGUUUUAAGAAUUUUGGAAAGCAUGUCAUUUAUUUUAAUGUUUGUUCUAAUCUCUUAUUUCUACUAUCUAAUGUCUAAUUUUGUUGUAAAUACGCUAAGGUAUUAGGUAGAGGGCUACUAUCAGGAAGGCUGACGACAAGAACCUCAAUAACAACCUCAAAUAGUUUGUUGGUACAAAUAUGCUAGGUAUCAUUAGGUAGCAGGCAACCAUCAGGAGGGCCGACGGCGAGAACCAGAAUAACAACCUCAAUCAUUUACAUGUUCUGUUUAUGUAAAUUGGAUUGUGUUAGUUCCAAACCUUGCCGUGUCUUUCACAUGUGCUGCUGAGAUGUUUGAUCACAUCAAAUCAAAAAAAUCUUGCCUUGUGCAAUUCCAUCAAAACAGCUUAGUGAUUGUUACUACAUGACAUACAUGUAAAUCCCCUGACAUCCCAUGUCCUACGUAAUUAAUUCGGUGCGUGAAGUAUUCUAGCUUGCGUAAACUAAGGUGACUUAGUACUAGUAUUAUGUUCAGUUGGUGUUCAUGUUUUAUGAUUUAGCUUGUACCUUAAUAACCAUGAAGUAAUUUGUAAGCCAUGUAAUAAAUUAUAUUUGCAGGUCUUGUCACCUUCUAUACAAAUAUACUGGUUUGUUUCAUUUCAUUAUUUUUCCUGUUAUAAGUAAUAGUACUCUCAAUACUUGCCAAGUGGACAUGUAAUACACUUUUUACACUUGUAAUACUGUUGUCUCUACUAUCUAUGAAUCUACAAAAAUCUAAUAUUCUUUUAAAUAUGCUAGGUAUGAUUGGGUAGUUACCCAUCAUAAUCUGCGCCAGGACAUGAUAGUUGUCAUCAGGAGAGUCGACGAAGAACCUCAACAGCAGCUUCAAAAGUUUAUAUGUUUUGUUGAUGUAAACUGGAUUGUACUGCUUCUUAACCUUGUUGUGUGAUAUAUUUAAUGUUGUGAAUUAUCAUUACAUGGAAGGAUUUGUAAAUUGCUAUGUUGUAUAUACACACAGGAUUUUUUUUGAGAAAAAUAUAUACAUACAGAUGGCCCGCAUAUUGCGUGAAUUGUUUGAAA